GAAACCGUGAGCCAUUUUAUUCCACGUAGGCAUCUGUCAUAACUCCGUUACAAUAUCUGUUAACUAAGUGGCGACGCUGUGGGGAGAUGAAAAGCUGAAGACAUUCCUAUUUCUCAAGAGCAUUAUCAAUCUCUCACCACUCUAAAACCCUCCCCGUGGCCGCCGUCUCCAGCCACAUGAAACUCCCUACCACCGCCAGUAAGUUCAUCGAUAAAUACCCAUCUAUAUUUAUUCACAUCUUGUCUCUUAAACCUUUGUGACACCGAAAGACUUGCGAAGCUUUUGAUGUUGACGAAAGAAACAAGCUUCCUUUAUUUGUUGUUGAUAAGGUUAAAUUUGAUUUGGGCUUACCUUUUAGUUAUGCUUUUGCUUUACUUCCUGACUUUCCUGAUUAUUUUCAGAUUGUUAGGAUGGAGAAAUUUGGUUUUGGGUUGAAAUUGGUUUCCUAGAGAAGAUUUGCCCUUUCACUGUUAUGGAAUUGAGGAUGAGGGAGGAGAGAAGAAUACCUAUUAGCUUCUCGAUGGCUUUGCCCAGAGGGUUUAAUUUGCAAAAGAAGGUAAGGGAUUGGGUUACUGAGGGACGAAAUAUGCCAUAUAUUUCGCCUUAUGAGGGUGCUUUUUAUUUGGGCCAUGAUAAUUAUCAGGCAGAGAAAUGGACUGUGGCGGUUCUGCACGAGUUGCUUUAUUUUUGUGAGCUGAAGAAGACAAUGUAUGUUGUUUGGAGAUUAUUUGGGAUUCAGGAACAGAUUUAGGAAGGCUGUGGUACAUCAUUCUGGGAUUUUUCAUAUGUCCAAAAAGAUGAGAGCACAGACUGUUGGCUUUGAGGAAGUCAUAUCGAAUAGCUGCUUUCAUUGAUGUGCAUCAGCUGAUGGAAAUGCGGUAUUGCAUGUUAUAUUGAUCUCAUAAAUAAUAGAGAAGAGAAACCCAUUUCAAGUCAGACCUGACGGGCGGAAGAGCUUGUCUGUUUUUUCUGCGAAGGAAGGAAAAGGAAAUGAUAGUAUAAUCCAGGAACAAGACAUAGAGUCAGAACUGGAUUGCUCUUCCGUAUCCGAAGUUCAAAAUAGUGAUAAUGAGGUAGAUACGAUGAGUCAAAGAAAGGCCAUAUCAUUGAUUAAUAAGAAACGCUAUAUCAUUGAUUAUUAUGAUCUUCCGCAAGCUAUAAAGUCAUUUUAUUGGAUUAAGAGAGAAGAUUGAAUACAGGAUGUUAGGCCGAAUGUUAUAGAGCUGAAACUGGAGAGGAGAGGCAACUGGAAUUUUACAAGCAGAUCUUUCUUCACUUAGGUGUGGAGCAUGUACCCUGUUGCAGAGAGCAUUGCCAAGAAGACAGAUAUGUUGGUUAGCUCAAUUCUUUGGCAGCUUAAACUUAAUAAACCCUGUCAGUCGUUUGUUAUCCACUUAUUAGCGAAAUAGUUGAAGAUCCAAUGAAGGCUCCUGGAGCCAGCACUCAAGAGAAAUGCCGAUGAUGCCUGCCAAAAGUAUCUGAUUCAACUUGAUUAACAACCCUAUUCACAUUUACCAAUCAGCCCCUUAAUUGAGACGGUUAAACGACUCUAGCAAAUUGUUAGAGAUCCUCGGGCAGGGUAUGAACAGAGCUUGUCAGUCCUAAAACACGCAAAGACCGACAAGGAGGGUAUGAUAACAAAAACCUCUAUAAUGUUGGGACUUGGAGAAUCUGAGGAUGAGCUUAAGGAAGCCAUGGCUGACUUAAGGGGAUGUUGAUAUUUUAACUCUUGGGCAGUACUUAUAAAUAUUUAUGAAAAGAUUGGAUUCGAGAUUUGCAGAGCAGUUUAUAGGAGAGAAUAAAAGGCUUGUGUGGGACAAAAGAUAAGAUUAGAAGUACAACCUAUAACGAGGAGAGAUUGUUAAACGAAGAGCUUGUAAAAGAUGGUAAAAGAAGCUGAUGUACAGAGCAGAAGCUAAAAGUGAACAAGAAAGGGACAGAGAAAAAGAAUGCUUUUACUUCAGAUUUUUUCCUUUCUGCAAAUUACUCACUCUGACAGAGAAACUCUUUAUUUUUAUGUGAGUUUCCAUUUGCACUAUUAUGCUUGAUUUUACGGAAUGGCCGGAAAAUGAGGACCUUACUCUGCAUAGUUUGGCAAACAAAAUAUAUGAUAUUUAUGAAAAGAUUGGAUUCGAGAUUUGCAGAGCAGUUUAUAGGAGAGAAUAAAAGGCUUGUGUGGGACAAAAGAUAAGAUUAGAAGUACAACCUAUAACGAGGAGAGGUUGUUAAACGAAGAGCUUGUAAAAGAUGGUAAAAGAAGCUGAUGUACAGAGCAGAAGCUAAAAGUGAACAAGAAAGGGACAGAGAAAAAGAAUGCUUUUACUUCAGAUUUUUUCCUUUCUGCAAAUUACUCACUCUGGCAGAGAAACUCUUUAUUUUUAUGUGAGUUUCCAUUUGCACUAUUAUGCUUGAUUUUACGGAAUGGCCGGAAAAUGAGGACCUGCAAUUGCUCAUGUAUUGGAGUUUAGCAAGGUAACCAUGUCGAAAUCAUUGCCAAUGAUCAUGGUAGGAGGGUUACUCCUUAUUCUGUGGCUUUCUAUGAUACUGAGGUUCUAAUUGGUGAUGUUAUGGCUGGAAAAUGAGGACCUGCAAUUUGAAUUGAUCUGGGAACCAUGUAUUCAUGUAUUGAGUUUGGUAAGCCAGGGCCUUUUUUCCCAGUUGUGGACUCAUCACGAAGUUUUUGAAGCCCAAUAGGAUUCUGGAGUGGAUUUAUCUGGCUGGCUGUUAUGACUGUUGUUAUAUCAGUGUUAUCUGAGUAUGUUGUUGGCACUACUGAGGAAGCAUCAGCCUCCUGGGGAUUAUCUGUAAGCUUCAUCAUCAUCAUUCUAUUGCCAAUUGUCAGGAAUGCAACUGAACAUGCUGGAGCAGUAAUUUUUGCUUUCAACAACAAGCUGGAUAUAACUUGAUCAACUCGGUUGCCUGUCCUGUGCAUAUUAGCCCUUGAAUAAUUGCUGUGUUGUUAGCACCGAGACUCCUGGACCAACUUUGUUAAUAUACCUUAAAAGCUCUGUUGACAUUAUUAUACCACGUGUUUACAUAUGAGUUAUGAGAAAAUAUUAAUGAUCAAGCUGUUUUAUAACAGACAUCGAGGUCCGCUGUAAAUGGUGGCUGGAUUUUGAAAAGAAUUUCUAUGUUUAAGCUUAUUUUAGUUUGUCA